GAGGAGUAAAAAAGGAGAAGGAAGUAACACAAGUAGAGGAAUUCUGAGACAGACGAGCGUCAGGGAGUAAAACAGCUGAGACAGUCACAGAGCUGCGUUCCUGGAAAGCUGACAGGCAGAUUGAUCGCUCAGACGUGCAGCAAAACAUGGCCUCCGUCGCUCCCUUCGGCCGCAGACAGUGGGCGUCCCAGUCACUGAGGGUCACCGCCAAAGAGCUGUCCAUUGUCUCCGCACGGGGCAAAAACACCGCCAUCGCCGAGCGCUUCUCCAAGUACCAGAUGGCAGCAGAGGAGGGGC